AUUUCUAUUGUGCAUGCGCACAGGCAUGGAAAUUUCUUUGGAGAUUAUUCUGGCAAGCUGGGUGUGAAUUUCGUCACAUUUCCAGUAAACACUGGGAAAAUAGAAUUAUGACUAUCAUUAUUCUAAGUGGAGAAUGAUUCGGACAAUUGUGAAAGAGAACCCGUUCAUACAAUCCUUUGGUUGUUAUCCCGGCUUCAGUAAGGCAGCAGGCCAUAUUCCCAAUUUUUUCCCAUUGAGGUCCACAAGCUCAUAUGACGAGGCACCCUUCUUGUGCACAAUUCGUGCUGGAAGAAAUUGUGGACCAUAUUUAGCAUUGUAUUGGUCCGCGGCGCUAGAUAAGGCCAUGUUGCGGCGAUACACGAGCUGUCCUACAUCGAAACUUUUACUGAAGUUCCGAUGCCGUAGUCGUUUUCUCCCUUCUUCGUGAGCAAUUUUGAGGUUCUUCUGAACCACCUCACGAAUCCUCCCGAACAUCUGUUCUUGAUGGGACAAUCGAUCUUCAGAGGCAAGUUCAUUAUCUCCCAGCCAGCUAUGAUCUCUACCGGUAGCAAGUAGCUCAUAACCACAGGCGAACGUCCCAAAGUCUCUGGUCCUCCUUGACGUAAGUACGGAUGGCUGCAUUGACUGUCCUAUUCACCCGCUCGACAGGAUUUGCCUGCGAGUGGUAUUUGGAGUUAAGCCAAUGUCGGAUCUGAUACUUGUCAAGUAGAGCUUUGAAUUCUUUGGAUAAGAAGCACGAAGCGUUAUCGGUAAUCACAACCUCGGGCGUUGAAUUGCGGAAAAACCACUGGUCUCGGAGCGUAGCCGAAAGUGACACACUAUCGAUUCGCCGGAAAGGACAUAACAUUACCCACUUGCUAAACAAGUCUACGACCGAAAGGAUAUAUUGGUUUUGCUUCUUGCUCCGCGGUAGGGGGCCUAUG